rnacentral:rRNA from 1 species
CAUGCAAGUCGAGCGAAGCUUUUCAGUAGUUUACUACAGAAAAUGACUGAGCGGCGAACGGGUGAGUAACGCGUGAGCAAUCUACCUUAGUUACAGGGAUAGCCCGAGGAAACUCGGAUUAAUACCUGAUAUUUUUUACAUUUCGCAUGAAAUCAAAAGGAAAGGUCAGCCGAACUAAGAUGGGCUCGCGUUCUAUCAGCUAGUUGGUGAGGUAAAAGCUCACCAAGGCAACGACGGAUAGCUGGUCUGAGAGGACGAUCAGCCACACUGGGACUGAGACACGGCCCAGACUCCUACGGGAGGCUGCAGCAGGGAAUAUUGCGCAAUGAGCGAAAGCUUGACGCAGCGACACCGCGUGUGGGAUGACGGAUCUAGGUUUGUAAACCACUUUCAGGAGGGAAGAAAAUGACGGUACCUCCACAAGAAGCCCCGGCCAACUACGUGCCAGCAGCCGCGGUAAUACGUAGGGGGCGAGCGUUGUCCGGAUUUAUUGGGCGUAAAGAGCUCGUAGGCGGUUCAACAAGUCGGUCGUAAAAGUUCAGGGCUCAACCCUGAAAUGUCGAUCGAUACUGUUGUGACUAGGAUACGGUAGAGGUGAGU